AAGAGCCUCCAUUCAGUGGGUGCUGGGGAGGCACUAGAGAGUUUUAGGUAGAGUGGCGACAUGACUAGAUUUGCAUUUUGGAAAAGAAAGUCCAUAGUGGUGGUGGUUUUAUGGAGGAAGGACCAAAAGCUGGUGCCAGCAGAGGCAAGGGCAGGAGCUGGGGAGCAGUGAAGGGGAGAGAAUCCUGGCAAGCAGCGACGUUUAAGGGACAAGAGCAGUUUAGGAGGCAGAAGGAGAACUGAAGACAGUCCAGGGAGAAAGUGGCUUCAAGAAACUGAAAUAAGUUCAGCAAGAUAAAAACUCAACACUAUCCCUGGGAUCUGGAACUUGCUCAUUGGUGAGAGCAAGAGCAGUUCCUGUGGCAUGGACAGAAGUCAGAUUUCUGUGGAUCAAAGAACAAAUGGGAGGUGGAGUUUAAUUGUGUUUCCUCUGAAUACGGGCUGGUUUUAGUGAACCGCUUUUAACAAAUGGAAUGUGACAGAGUGAUGGUGUGUGACUUCUGCGACUUGGUCAUAAAAGGCAUUGUGGCUUCCCUCUUGCUCUCUCGGAUCACUUUGUUUGAGGGAAACCAGCUGCCAUGCUGUAAGGACCCUCAAGCAGCCCUGUGGAGAGGUUCCUCUGGUGAGGAACUGGGGCCUCCUACCAAUAGCCCUGUGAGUGCACCAUCUUGGAAGCAGAUCUUCCAGAACCAGUCAAGCCUCCAAUGGUUAAAGCCCAAGCUGACAUCUUCACAGAAACCUCAUGAAAGACUGUGAGCCAGAACCAUCAGUUAAGUUGCUCCUUCACUCCUGCCGCAUAAAAAUUGUGGGAUGAUAUAUGCUUAUUGUUUUAAGCCACUAAAUGUUGGGGUAAUUGGGAACCCAAGAUAGUUUAUUUACAGCAACAGAUAGGAAGAUAGAGUACAUGAGUACACUGUGGUGGAUGAGUAAAAGUGGAAUGAAGAAUUUGUGGAGAUUCCCCUCAAAUUGCUUCAGCUUUCUCAGUGACACAGGAAGCAAGAUCAAUAGCUGAGAGUUGAGGGUAAAGAUGGAAAAAGAAGUGUUGGAGGAGUGAGGAGAAAGGAAAAGUAAAAUAGUUGUAUUGGGUACAGAUGGGGGACAGAUAGAAUGGACAAGGCAAAUGUAGUAGGAUAGUAGGCCAUAUUAAGGACACAAAGGAAGUAUGUCUGCAGUCGUCAUAUAAAAUGAGACAGUCUGUUGUGUGCUUUGCUUCAGCAAUUUCAACUGCAUUCGUGCAGAAGCAGAGUAGGUGGGGAGUUGGAUUAAACCAGGGAUGUACUUUUGCCAAGUGAGUACUAUGUGACACAAAAUAGGGCAAGGUGUAUGCAAAGGAGUGUUUAUACAAAUCAGUCUAAUUGCCUUCUUAAAAAUCAUUUUGGUGUUCUGCUUCCAGGAAGAUGGAGUAAACAUAUUUUGCCCUUUUCCUCCUGUUAAGAACAACUAAGAUGCCUGGACAUUAUAUAUAAAACAAACACAAAAAGAAUCUGAAAGGUGGAGAGAAGAAAGCAGAUUGUCAAGGGACUUCAGAACCCUAGAAAUGAACUUGUGGGUGGAGAGCCAGGACUUUCAUGAUUAUCCGACGGUAAUGAAGCCAUACCCACUGCAAUGUCGGUGGAGACUACUUGGGGAACCAGAUCCCCAUUGCUACCCAGCAGUAACAAGGAGCACCCUCCCUUGAGAGUGAAUAGUUAAACUGUGGUUCAUCCUACCAUGGAAUAUUACUCAUCAAUAAAAAGGGAUGAACUACUGACAUAUACAGUAAAGUGGACAACGGACUCUCCAGUGAAUUAUGCUUAGUGAAAAAAGUAAAUCGCAAAAGUUAUACUGUACAAUUCAAUUUAUAUAACAUUCUGGAAAUGACAAAAUUAUAAAAGUCUAUUACAGAUGUGUGGUUAACAGAAGUUAAAGAAGGAGGAAGGGAAGAAGGUGACUGGAAAGUGAAAGUGGCUAUCAAAGGACAAGAUGGGGAGUCCUUGUGGUGACGGAAAUGUUCUGUAUCUUGACUCUAUCAGUGAUAAUGUCCUCAUUGUGGCAUCACUAUGGAUUUACAAGAUGCAGCCACUGGGGGGAAAGUGGGUAAAGGGAACACCCACUCUCUCUGUAUUAUUUCUGACAACUGCAUGUGAAUUUACAUUUAUUUGUUAAAAUGAAACAUUUAAUUUAAAAUAUUAUUUGUUUUACUUCCAGUUGCUUUUAAAAUAAAAUGUGGCCCACAGGUGUCCACUGAUCCUAUCUACCUGACACUGCAAUCUCUUACUGUACCACGUUUCUAACUCCAGCCACAUUGUCGCUUUACUUUAAUAACAUUGAGCUCUCUUCUACUCCUGGUUCUUUGCAUUUGCUGUUUCCUCUGCUUGAGAAUGCUCUCUCCCCAGUUCUUUACAUGGUUCCUCAUUCUGAGCCUGCAGGUCUCAACUCAAACACCGCCUGCUCAGAGAAGUCAGCCCUUACUUGCAAAUCACAGGAAGGGAGAGUAGUUAAGCCCUGCAGCCUGCUGCCUGAGGGCUGAAUUGCAAUACCUCCUUUCAAUGGCCUUAAGGUCUAGGGCAUCAGGCUUAACACCAGCUCUGUGUCUGUGUUCCCAUCUCUAAAAUGGGCACCCUGUUAG